AUCAGAUUGAGCAUCUCUGCUGCAGAGUGGAGACAUGGAGACCCUCCUGCACGUUCUCCUGGGGAUUCUCGGGUUGCAGGCAGCCUGGGUCAGCAGCCAAGAACUGCGGCAGAGUCAGUCUCUGGUGAUUCCAGAAGGAGAAGAGCUCACGAUAAACUGCAGUUCAUUAACAGUUUUAUUCGCCUUACACUGGUACAGACAGACUGAUGGAGGUCCUGUCUUCUUGAUGAUGUUACAGAAACGUGGAGAUGAGAAAAGCCAUGGAAAAAUAACAGUUAACCUGGAUGAGAAAAUGCAGCAGAGCUCGCUGCGCAUCACAGACGCCCAGCCCAGCCACUCAGGCACCUACUUCUGUGCAGGAAGUGCACAGUGAUCUCCGUGCCUCUGAGGGCUGUCCCCAAACCUGCAGCUGGGCACAGAUGCUGUGUUGAAGCAGGGCUCCUGAGAGGUGGCAGGGAUACUUGCUAAAAGAAACCUUGAAAUCAAGGGAAUUGUCUCCUUGACAACAAAAAAGGGAAGUAACAAAGAAGAAGUAGGAAUAAUAAAAAGGGGAGAUUAUUGUUUAAGAACAAAUUUAAUUUCAUUUUAUUGUGUUGGUUAUGUCACGUUUCAGUCACUACAACAGCAAGGGGGGAUGAAAAUGGCAUGAAUUU